rnacentral:lncRNA from 1 species
AUAUGUAACCAUUAAUAAUAAUUAAUUAUAAAUCUUGAAACAUUUAUUUAUUUUAUUAUGCCAACAAUUAAAUUUUAGUGGCUUAAAUAUAUCAAUUAAUUAAUAUAGGAAGGAAUGUUCCUUCAUCUUCCCUCAAUAAUGCCAUUAGGGUCUAAUUUUAAUGCCAUAAUCUCAUAUUUAAUUAUGCAACCUUUUGUUUAGUACCUUUUGACUUCUUAAAACUCUAUAAAUAUUAAGUAGUUAAGAUUUGUGGCAUUAUUAUUUCUCAUCUUUUUAUAUUCUCUAUUAUCUAAUAUAUUGGUUGAGAUUAAAAAAUAAUUACAUUACAAAAUAUUAAAAAUAUAAAAUAAUUAAUAGAUUACAAAAGAUUACAUGUCUCUUCCUCUUUCUAUUUAAAUUCAACAAUAUAUAACCAUUAAUAAUAAAUUAAUUAUAAGUUUUGAAACAUUCAUUUAUUUUAUUAAGCCAACAAAUAAACUUUGGUGGUUUAAAAUACAUCAACUAAUUAAUAUAGGAAGGAAGGUUCCUUCCUCUUCCCUCACCAAUGCCCUAUGGCCUAAUUUUAAUGUCAUAAUCCUAUAUUUAAUUAUGCAACCUCUUAUUUAGUAUCUUUUGGCUUCUUCAAGCUCUAUAAAUAUUAAGCAUUUAAGAUUUGUUAUGUUUGAGUUUUUUUAAUUAUUUAACCAACAUUCUCUUUAGAAAUGUUUUUGUGUUUUUAUUUUUUGACUUAUUUAAAUUUUUAGUAUUGUAUGCUUCAUGGAGUACUAUUUUCUUCAUGAGUUAAACAAUGACAAAAAUAGUUGGAUAAUAAGGGUUAGACUUUUAAGAUGUGAGAGUCUGUUAAUACUAAGAAAAAUGGAGAGUUGAUUAGUGUGAACAUAAUUUUUAUUGAUGAAAAGGUUGUGUACACUUAACUAUACACAUUAAUAUAUAUUUUU